CACACAAUACAAAAUACAAAAUCAUUAGAAUAGUAGCACGGUAAAUAGUAGCAAGUAUUUUCAGCAGUCGUUUGUAGUGACUACUAUGUAAGACUGACUUAUAUUGAAAAGAACGAGUGAGAAACGGCACUUCUAUUUGCACCAACAUAAAUAGGGAAAGAAAUUCACAUGAUCUGUAACUAUUUUAAGGAACACUUUUGUUGGCCCCGCCAUAAACAACACAGCACAACCAGGGAAAAUGUUUUGCAGCUGCAAUGAUUGUACUCAAUACCAUACAUAGUGGAGUCCCAGCUACCAAGUUUAGAUAGAAUUCCUUGCAUUGAUUUUAAUAGCUUUGUGGAGUGAUAUUCUGUUUGUGAGCUAACCGAUUGUGAAACAGGGAUUGUGACAUAAACCUGUAGAAUAGAGCGAAUGUCACUCCACAACUCCACAACUGCAUGACUUAUGUUCAUUAUCAUUCCUCCAGCAGCA
rnacentral:lncRNA from 1 species